GCCAUGCAUGUCUAAGUACUUGCUUUAACAAGGCGAAACCGCGAAUGGCUCAUUAAAUCAGUUAUGGUUCACUAGAUCGUUUCAAUCCUACAUGGAUAACUGUGGUAAUUCUAGAGCUAAUACAUGCAAUGAAGCUGUCUGGCCUCGUGUCAGCAGCGCAGUUAUUAGAUUAAAACCAAUAUAGGCCUUCGGGUCUAUUAAACUUGUGAUGAAUCUGAAUAACCGAAGCUAAGCGCACGGUCUCGUACCGGCGCUAGAUCUUUCAAGUGUCUGAUCUAUCAGCUUGAUGUUAGGUUAUGUUCCUAACAAGGCAUUUACGGGUAACGGGGAAUCAGGGUCCGAUUCCGGAGAGGGAGCCUGAGAAAUGGCUACCACAUCCAAGGAAGGCAGCAGGCGCGCAAAUUACCCACUCCCAGUUCGGGGAGGUAGUGACGAAAAAUAACGAUGCGGGAGCAUAAUGCUUCCCGUAAUCGGAAUGAGUACACUUUAAAUCCUUU
rnacentral:rRNA from 1 species